UGGCUCAGAUUGAACGCUGGCGGCAGGCCUAACACAUGCAAGUCGAACGGUAACAGGAAGCAGCUUGCUGCUUUGCUGACGAGUGGCGGACGGGUGAGUAAUGUCUGGGAAACUGCCUGAUGGAGGGGGAUAACUACUGGAAACGGUGGCUAAUACCGCAUAACGUCGCAAGACCAAAGAGGGGGACCUUCGGGCCUCUUGCCAUCAGAUGUGCCCAGAUGGGAUUAGCUUGUUGGUGAGGUAACGGCUCACCAAGGCGACGAUCCCUAGCUGGUCUGAGAGGAUGACCAGCCACACUGGAACUGAGACACGGUCCAGACUCCUACGGGAGGCAGCAGUGGGGAAUAUUGCACAAUGGGCGCAAGCCUGAUGCAGCCAUGCCGCGUGUAUGAAGAAGGCCUUCGGGUUGUAAAGUACUUUCAGCGGGGAGGAAGGUGUUGCGGUUAAUAACCGCAGCAAUUGACGUUACCCGCAGAAGAAGCACCGGCUAACUCCGUGCCAGCAGCCGCGGUAAUACGGAGGGUGCAAGCGUUAAUCGGAAUUACUGGGCGUAAAGCGCACGCAGGCGGUCUGUCAAGUCGGAUGUGAAAUCCCCGGGCUCAACCUGGGAACUGCAUUCGAAACUGGCAGGCUUGAGUCUUGUAGAGGGGGGUAGAUUCCCAGGUGUAGCGGUGAAAUGCGUAGAGAUCUGGAGGAAUACCGGUGGCGAAGGCGGCCCCCUGGACAAAGACUGACGCUCAGGUGCGAAAGCGUGGGGAGCAAACAGGAUUAGAUACCCUGGUAGUCCACGCCGUAAACGAUGUCUACUUGGAGGUUGUGCCCUUGAGGCGUGGCUUCCGGAGCUAACGCGUUAAGUAGACCGCCUGGGGAGUACGGCCGCAAGGUUAAAACUCAAAUGAAUUGACGGGGGCCCGCACAAGCGGUGGAGCAUGUGGUUUAAUUCGAUGCAACGCGAAGAACCUUACCUGGUCUUGACAUCCACAGAAGAAUCCAGAGAUGGAUUUGUGCCUUCGGGAACUGUGAGACAGGUGCUGCAUGGCUGUCGUCAGCUCGUGUUGUGAAAUGUUGGGUUAAGUCCCGCAACGAGCGCAACCCUUAUCCUUUGUUGCCAGCGAUUAGGUCGGGAACUCAAAGGAGACUGCCAGUGAUAAACUGGAGGGAGGUGGGGAUGACGUCGAGUCAUCAUGGCCCUUACGACCAGGGCUACACACGUGCUACAAUGGCGCAUACAAAGAGAAGCGACCUCGCGAGAGCAAGCGGACCUCAUAAAGUGCGUCGUAGUCCGGAUUGGAGUCUGCAACUCGACUCCAUGAAGUCGGAAUCGCUAGUAAUCGUGGAUCAGAAUGCCACGGUGAAUACGUUCCCGGGCCUUGUACACACCGCCCGUCACACCAUGGGAGUGGGUUGCAAAAGAAGUAGGUAGCUUAACCUUCGGGAGGGCGCUUACCACUUUGUGAUUCAUGACUGGGGUGAAGUCGUA
rnacentral:rRNA from 1 species